GGGGCCAUAGCUCAGCUGGUAGAGCGUCGCGCUUGCAUCGCGAAGGUCAGGGGUUCGAGCCCCCUUGGCUCCA
rnacentral:tRNA from 1 species